GAGGAUGUAGUUCAAUGGUAGAAUAUUGGUUUUGGGAACUAAUGGUUGUAGGUUCAAGUCCUAUCAUCCUGAUGCA